rnacentral:rRNA from 1 species
AUUGAACGCUGGCGGCAGGCCUAACACAUGCAAGUCGAACGAGUGGCGGACGGGUGAGUAAUGUCGGGGAAACUGCCUGACGGAGGGGGAUAAGGAGGGGAAACGGUGGCUACUACCGCAUACGGUGAGAUGUGCCCAGAUUGGAUGAGCUGGUUGGUGGGGUAACGGCUCACCAAGGCGACGAUCCCUAGCAGGUCUGAGAGGAUGACCAGCCACACUGGAACUGAGACACGGUCCAGACUCCUACGGGAGGCAGCAGUGGGGAAUAUUGCACAAUGGGCGCAAGCCUGAUGCAGCCAUGCCGCGUGAAUGAAGAAGGCCUUCGGGUUGUAAAGUACUGUCAGCGGGGAGGCGUUACCCGCAGAAGAAGCACCGGCUAACUCCGUGCCAGCAGCCGCGGUAAUAC